GUAAAUCAUUAUGAGUGUCAAUGGUUUAUAGAGAUCCCUGCCUUUCAGUUAUGAAUAUUUGCAUUUCAACCAAGUUUUCUGUCAAAACAAAAAUUUUACUUUGCUAAAGAUCAGUGGCUGGAAUAAAAAAGGUCUCAAUUUUUUAUUUUUUAUUUUUUUCCCCAAUGGCAGUUUCACAUGACUUAAUUUUAAAAACUGAUAUGGCUAAAAAUUCUUCUGUUUUCAGUACAUGAAAAUGUCUACACAGUGUUUGUUUCAGUCCCAAAUGGAAUAUUCUUUUAAGCACAUCUGUACUACCAUCUACUGGAAAGGCGUGACUGGAUCUAAGAGUUAAGAGUGCCACCAUCAGGACGACUGGUGAAAUGGAAGCAAUUUUUGUGCAGAUCUACCUGAAAUUCAUUUCCUUCCCCAAAUACUGGGAACUCUUCUUUUAAAGAUCGACAGACUUCUUUCCCUGCUGAUUAGAUCCCCCAACUGUCUCGCUAAUUUGCUUCCAACAAUGCAAACCUGAUGAAAAUCAAUGAAAAUCUUGCGGAGAUUAACAAAAGGGUUGUUUUUCAGUCACCUUUCUGGAAUCAAUUGGAAACCUUUCCAAUUUCAUAAUAAUUUAUAGUGAUUUCAGAAGGAGUCUGUAUUUGAUUACAAGAAUCCCGAGAAAAUAGUGCUGGUGAGGUAGUGUUUUGCCAUGGCUUUGUGUAAUGCAGUUAUUAGUUAAAAUUCAAAUUUGUGAUUGUGUCCUCGGUUAUUAGUAUUUUUGUGUACUUUUUCUGUAAGCUGAGUU
rnacentral:lncRNA from 1 species